rnacentral:rRNA from 1 species
GACGUAGGGCGCGAGCGUUGUCCGGAUUUAUUGGGCGUAAAGCGCGCGCAGGCGGUUAUUUAAGUCUGAUGUAUAAACCAAGGGCUCAACCUUUGGUGGCAUUGGAAACUGGAGAACUGGAGUGUAGGAGAGGAAAGUGGAAUUCCACGUGUAGCGGUGAAAUGCGUAGAGAUGUGGAGGAACACCAGUGGCGAAGGCGACUUUCUGGCCUAUAACUGACGCUGAGGCGCGAAAGCGUGGGGAGCAAACAGG